UACGUAGGGUCCAAGCGUUAUCCGGAAUCACUGGGCGUAAAGCGUGCGUAGGUGGCGUGUUAAGUGUGAUGUUAAAUCGUGUGGCUCAACCAUAUCGAUGUGUCGCAUACUGGCAUGCUAGAGGACAGCAGAGGCAAGUGGAAUUUGUAGUGUAGCAGUGAAAUGCGUAGAUAUUACAAGGAACACCAAUUGCGAAGGCAGGUCACUAUGUCUUAACUGACGCUGAUGGACGAAAGCGUGGGGAGCGAACAGG
rnacentral:rRNA from 1 species